rfam:Ordospora colligata OC4 contig_02, whole genome shotgun sequence.
GGCUUGUUAGUUAAGUGGCAAAACGACUGAUUCGUAAUCAGUAGGCGUGGGUUCGAUUCCCACACAAGCCU